rnacentral:rRNA from 1 species
CCUACGGGUGGCAGCAGUAGGGAAUAUUGGGCAAUGGGCGCAAGCCUGACCCAGCCAUGCCGCGUGCCGGAUGAAGGCGCUCAGCGUUGUAAACGGCUUUUAACUGGGAAGAAUGACAGGGGUGCGCCCUUGUUUGCCGGUACCAGCGGAAUAAGCACCGGCUAACUCCGUGCCAGCAGCCGCGGUAAUACGGAGGGUGCAAGCGUUGUCCGGAUUUAUUGGGUUUAAAGGGUGCGUAGGUGGCCUGUUAAGUCUGGUUUGAAAGUCGGCGGCUC